rnacentral:rRNA from 1 species
ACGAACGCUGGCGGCGUGCUUAACACGUGCAAGUCGAACGGUGAAGCGCCUUCCUUUUUGGUGGGUGUGGAUGAGUGGCGAACGGGUGAGUAACACGUGAGUAACCUGCCCCCUUCUUCUGGAUAACCGCAUGAAAGUGUGGCUAAUACGGGAUAUUCUGGGUCUGUCGCAUGAUGGGUCUGGGAAAGAUAUUGUUUCGGUGGGGGAUGGGCUCGCGGCCUAUCAGCUUGUUGGUGGGGUGAUGGCCUACCAAGGCGGUGACGGGUAGCCGGCCUGAGAGGGUGGACGGUCACACUGGGACUGAGACACGGCCCAGACUCCUACGGGAGGCAGCAGUGGGGAAUAUUGCACAAUGGGCGCAAGCCUGAUGCAGCGACGCCGCGUGAGGGAUGGAGGCCUUCGGGUUGUGAACCUCUUUCGCCAGUGAAGCAGGCCUGCCUCGUUUGUGGGUGGGUUGACGGUAGCUGGAUAAGAAGCGCCGGCUAACUACGUG